UUAAGCGACUAAGCGUACACGGUGGAUGCCCUGGCAGUCAGAGGCGAUGAAGGACGUGCUAAUCUGCGAAAAGCGUCGGUAAGGUGAUAUGAACCGUUAUAACCGGCGAUGUCCGAAUGGGGAAACCCAGUGCAAUUCGUUGCACUAUCGUUAACUGAAUACAUAGGUUAACGAGGCGAACCGGGGGAACUGAAACAUCUAAGUACCCCGAGGAAAAGAAAUCAACCGAGAUUCCCCCAGUAGCGGCGAGCGAACGGGGAGCAGCCCAGAGUCUGAAUCAGCUUGUGUGUUAGUGGAACGGUCUGGAAAGUCCGACGGUACAGGGUGAUAGUCCCGUACACCAAAAUGCACAGGUUGUGAACUCGAAGAGUAGGGCGGGACACGUGGUAUCCUGUCUGAAUAUGGGGGGACCAUCCUCCAAGGCUAAAUACUCCUGACUGACCGAUAGUGAACCAGUACCGUGAGGGAAAGGCGAAAAGAACCCCGGCGAGGGGAGUGAAAAAGAACCUGAAACCGUGUACGUACAAGCAGUGGGAGCACCUUCGGGUGUGACUGCGUACCUUUUGUAUAAUGGGUCAGCGACUUAUAUUCUGUAGCAAGGUUAACCGUAUAGGGGAGCCGCAGGGAAACCGAGUCUUAACUGGGCGUUAAGUUGCAGGGUAUAGACCCGAAACCCGGUGAUCUAGCCAUGGGCAGGUUGAAGGUUGGGUAACACUAACUGGAGGACCGAACCGACUAAUGUUGAAAAAUUAGCGGAUGACUUGUGGCUGGGGGUGAAAGGCCAAUCAAACCGGGAGAUAGCUGGUUCUCCCCGAAAGCUAUUUAGGUAGCGCCUCGUGAAUUCAUCUUCGGGGGUAGAGCACUGUUUCGGCUAGGGGGUCAUCCCGACUUACCAACCCGAUGCAAACUACGAAUACCGAAGAAUGUUAUCACGGGAGACACACGGCGGGUGCUAACGUCCGUCGUGAAGAGGGAAACAACCCAGACCGCCAGCUAAGGUCCCAAAGUCAUGGUUAAGUGGGAAACGAUGUGGGAAGGCACAGACAGCCAGGAUGUUGGCUUAGAAGCAGCCAUCAUUUAAAGAAAGCGUAAUAGCUCACUGGUCGAGUCGGCCUGCGCGGAAGAUGUAACGGGGCUAAACCAUGCACCGAAGCUGCGGCAGCGACACUAUGUGUUGUUGGGUAGGGGAGCGUUCUGUAAGCCUGCGAAGGUGACCUGUGAGGGUUGCUGGAGGUAUCAGAAGUGCGAAUGCUGACAUAAGUAACGAUAAAGCGGGUGAAAAGCCCGCUCGCCGGAAGACCAAGGGUUCCUGUCCAACGUUAAUCGGGGCAGGGUGAGUCGACCCCUAAGGCGAGGCCGAAAGGCGUAGUCGAUGGGAAACAGGUUAAUAUUCCUGUACUUGGUGUUACUGCGAAGGGGGGACGGAGAAGGCUAUGUUAGCCGGGCGACGGUUGUCCCGGUUUAAGCAUGUAGGCUGAUUAUCCAGGCAAAUCCGGAUAAUCAAGGCUGAGGUGUGAUGACGAGGCACUACGGUGCUGAAGUAACAAAUGCCCUGCUUCCAGGAAAAGCCUCUAAGCAUCAGGUAAUAUCAAAUCGUACCCCAAACCGACACAGGUGGUCAGGUAGAGAAUACCAAGGCGCUUGAGAGAACUCGGGUGAAGGAACUAGGCAAAAUGGUGCCGUAACUUCGGGAGAAGGCACGCUGGUGUGUAGGUGAAGUCCCUGCGGAUGGAGCUGAGACCAGUCGAAGAUACCAGCUGGCUGCAACUGUUUAUUAAAAACACAGCACUGUGCAAACACGAAAGUGGACGUAUACGGUGUGACGCCUGCCCGGUGCCGGAAGGUUAAUUGAUGGGGUUAUCCGUAAGGAGAAGCUCUUGAUCGAAGCCCCGGUAAACGGCGGCCGUAACUAUAACGGUCCUAAGGUAGCGAAAUUCCUUGUCGGGUAAGUUCCGACCUGCACGAAUGGCGUAAUGAUGGCCAGGCUGUCUCCACCCGAGACUCAGUGAAAUUGAACUCGCUGUGAAGAUGCAGUGUACCCGCGGCAAGACGGAAAGACCCCGUGAACCUUUACUAUAGCUUGACACUGAACAUUGAGCCUUGAUGUGUAGGAUAGGUGGGAGGCUUUGAAGCGUGGACGCCAGUCUGCGUGGAGCCAACCUUGAAAUACCACCCUUUAAUGUUUGAUGUUCUAACGUUGGCCCCUGACCGGGGUUGCGGACAGUGUCUGGUGGGUAGUUUGACUGGGGCGGUCUCCUCCCAAAGCGUAACGGAGGAGCACGAAGGUUAGCUAAUCCUGGUCGGACAUCAGGAGGUUAGUGCAAUGGCAUAAGCUAGCUUGACUGCGAGCGUGACGGCGCGAGCAGGUGCGAAAGCAGGUCAUAGUGAUCCGGUGGUUCUGAAUGGAAGGGCCAUCGCUCAACGGAUAAAAGGUACUCCGGGGAUAACAGGCUGAUACCGCCCAAGAGUUCAUAUCGACGGCGGUGUUUGGCACCUCGAUGUCGGCUCAUCACAUCCUGGGGCUGAAGUAGGUCCCAAGGGUAUGGCUGUUCGCCAUUUAAAGUGGUACGCGAGCUGGGUUUAGAACGUCGUGAGACAGUUCGGUCCCUAUCUGCCGUGGGCGCUGGAGAAUUGAGGGGGGCUGCUCCUAGUACGAGAGGACCGGAGUGGACGCAUCACUGGUGUUCGGGUUGUCAUGCCAAUGGCACUGCCCGGUAGCUAAAUGCGGAAGAGAUAAGUGCUGAAAGCAUCUAAGCACGAAACUUGCCCCGAGAUGAGUUCUCCCUGAGACUUUAAGUCUCCUGAAGGAACGUUGAAGACGACGACGUUGAUAGGCCGGGUGUGUAAGCGCAGCGAUGUGUUGAGCUAACCGGUACUAAUGAACCGUGAGGCUUAACCUU
rnacentral:rRNA from 1 species